rnacentral:rRNA from 1 species
AUGGCGGCGAGGGCGCUUGGGCUCGCCGGCCGAGCGCUCCUACGGCCGCUCUCCUCGCCGGGCGCCCAGCGGCUGCUGUCCACUGACAAGGGCCCACUGCAGGAGCUCGCGAACGCCGGUGAUCCGAUGAGCCGCCUCAUCAUGCAAGCACGGAACCAGACUGACGGCGGUUUUCCCCGUCACUUUGCUGAGAACGGAUUCACAGCAGGUGGUGGCAGGAUGGGUGGAAAUGGAUUCACAGCCAGCGAUGGCAGGAUGGGUGGAAACGGAUUCACAGCCAGUGAUGGCAGGAUGGGUGGAAACGGAUUCACAGUCGGUGAUGGCAGGAUGGGCAGAAUUGGAUUCACAGCCGGUGAUAGCAGGAUGGGUGGAAUUGGAUUCACACCCGGUGGUGCCAGGAUGGGUGGAAACGGAUUCACAGCCGGUGGUGGCAGGUCGGGCCGGUUUAACAUGGAAAUGCUGCGGCCAGCAGGGGCACCGCGAGUAAAGAGGGACGUUCUCCAUGUCACGCUCAAGGGGAAGAAGACCUUUGUGACCGUGACGGACGUCAAGGGGAACAGGAAGGCUGGGGCUUCCGCUGGCUGUUUGGAGGAUCGAAAGGGGCGGUCUCGUCUUGCUCGGUAUGCUGGUGAAGCAACAGGGGAACACAUGGGGCGAGUUGCCAGCAAGAUUGGCCUCAAGUCUGUCAUUGUGAAGGUGAAAGGAUACUCCUUUUUCAGGAAGAAGAAGAAGGUGAUCAUGGGCUUUGCAGACGGUUUCCGGGGUGAAAGAGUGAGAACCCCGUCUCCUAUCAUGCACGUCCAUGAUGUGACGCAGCUCGCGCAUAAUGGAUGCCGGCUGCCCAAAAAGGUAAGGAAGUAA